UACGUAGGGUGCGAGCGUUAAUCGGAAUUACUGGGCGUAAAGCGUGCGCAGGCGGUUAUAUAAGACAGGUGUGAAAUCCCCGGGCUUAACCUGGGAAUUGCAUUUGUGACUGUAUAGCUGGAGUGCGGCAGAGGGGGAUGGAAUUCCGCGUGUAGCAGUGAAAUGCGUAGAUAUGCGGAGGAACACCGAUGGCGAAGGCAAUCCCCUGGGCCUGCACUGACGCUCCAUGCACGAAAGCGUGGGAGCAAACAGG
rnacentral:rRNA from 1 species